CCCAAUGUUUGUGGUUUAUUCGGUUCUUUUUUCUUCCUUUUUCGUUUUUUUUUGGUUUUUUGUUUGUUAAUUCUUUUGCUUUUUUUUUUUCAGCUGUUUGCAUGUUUCGUUUUUUUUUUCAGUUUCUUAUUUUAGGUUUUUUUUGGUUAUUUUUUCUUACGACUAUAAAGACUUAACAAAAUAAUUAAAAUUAUAGAUUUUCGUGAGUAAAAAUAACAAUUUUCCGUGAAAAAAGUAAUAAUUUUAAAGUGUUACAUUUCUUCAUAUGUAUAAUUAUUUUUUAUUAAGAUAAUAGUUACUUUUAAUAGGUAUAAAAUAUACAUUUGUUAGCAUAAAUGUAUACUUAUGUUAAUAUAAGCAUUUACAUUCAUUCGAUAUAAAGUAGUAAAUUUUUUAACUCGUAAACCCUGAC
rnacentral:lncRNA from 1 species